UUGAUUAUGUAAGUAUGUAUGUACUCUACAUCUUUGAAGACUAAUAAUAAUUGUAAUGAACAUAUCUCAAACAAUAUACACUCGGAUUUACAUUUUAGUUAAACCAUCACCACCUCCACAGGCCACCUUAUCUCAAGCAUUCAAUUGCAUUCUAAGUUAUCUUUAUUCAAAUCAAGUGUGACUACUAUACCAAAAGACUGUAGAAUGGACCAAUCAACUAACCCAUCAGUACUUGCAAAGUCUUUUUUCUGUAAGCCCGAAAUUUAAGUUCUAAAAUACCAUUAUCCACAUAACUACUAUAUCAAAGCAUAAACUACUGGAUUGAUCAAAAAAGAGAUUGUAUGACUUCGGUAUCCGCAAUACGGUAUCCUGCAUAGAUUCCCAUCUUAGAAUGACCCUCUUCCGUAUAGGUGGAAAUAGGAAAGGUUAUGUCCUUUUUUCCAAUUCUUAAACCAAGAAGCUUAAUCGGUUCAAACAAAGAUGACGAUGAUCAUUAUGGAGCUGAUCAUAAUGUGGAAUACGAUAAUGCAUAUAAUAAUGAAAUGAUUUUACUUGUAUCUUGAACUUAUUUAAAUAAAAAAUUAUUUGUUAAA